AAUGUAAGUAGUUAUAUGGGAACGGAGCCAAACUUGUAUCUCGAGCUGAUCAUACAAUAUGGUUCACAAGGCCAACUUUGUUUACAUGAUUUCCAUCAUCCUAUUGCUAUUGUUCUCAUCCAAAUUAGUCUUUGCCAAUGUUUCUGAAAAACCAAAGCACAAUGUAGCAGAAAAGAUCAUCAGUAGGUCGCAUCUGCAUGUUGUGGCAAAGGAAGAGGAACCGGUGCACUAUAAGACCGUACCUUUUCCGGGGCAUGGAAAAAAAAAAUAGGGGUGCGCAUUAAACCGAUCGAACCAUAUCUUGUCUUGCAGGUUCUUACCUUUUAAGUUUUAUUUUAGAGGGGUUUGGUCCUAUGUUCGCCCCUCUCUUUUUAUUGUAUUUUAUUUUUUAAUAGGGGUAAAGUCUAUGUCUCCCCUUCUCUUUUUCUUGUAUUUUCUUGUUCAAGAGGGGUAAGGUGUAUAUCCCUCCCUCUUUUCUUGUAUUUUGUUAUUUUUGCUUUAUGAAGAAUAAGGUUUAUGUCCCUCCUUGAUUAGGUGUAACUUCUUUUUUUCAUCUCAAUAAAUUUCUCGUACCGUCGAGGUUUUUCAA